ensembl:snRNA U6 U6 spliceosomal RNA
GUGCUCGCUUUGGCAGCACAUACACUAAAACUGGAACGAUGCAGAGGAAAUUAGCAUGGCCCCUGUACAAGGGUGACACACACAUUUGUGAAGCAUUCCAUAUUUUU